AUGUGGGUUUGGUCUUGUCAACUUGCUUCAAGUACAAGAAAAGUUGCAAAAAAGGCUAAGGCUUGCACAACUACUAGAGAGCUCACUUUGGAUCACUUAUAUACUAAUAUGAAAACAAUGUACAAGACAUUACAUGCUUGGCUUGGACCUAGAACUCUCUCAAACUUAAAAACACCAAAAACCUGCUCAAGCAUACGGUUUCUGCAAAAACUCAUCCAAGUCUCAUUUGGCUCGUGUGUUCUGUGUUUAACUAAUCCAAGCAUCUUACAUACUUAA